rnacentral:pre_miRNA from 1 species
ACAUGAAGGUCUAGACUCCUUUCGAUGCUUGUAUGCUACUCCCAAGAAUGCUAACAGGAGUUCCAUGUAUGCAUCGAGCAGAGACUAUACCAUUUAAACU